CCCGGUUGAUGUCCAGAGCAAAUUGACAAUUGAGGUCAUUGGUAAUGAAUUAAUGAAGAAGAGGUACAGAUUUUAUCACUAUUUAGUUUUAUCCAAACUUAUGUUUGCAAGGUUAUUUGAUUUCUGGUGGUAUACUCGUUAAGCUCAUUAUACUCAUCAUGUUUUUUUAAAUGUAGUAAAAAUGUUAAAGAACCUUCUCUCUACGACUGAGCAACCUUAGUAUUUGUUUAGACUGUAAUUUCUGAAGUGAUGGUUUUUGGGGUUAGCUAUGUAGGCUUAUUUUUAUAUUUCGUUACAUGAGGGUAAGUGUAAAAAUUGAAAUUAAACUACCUUAUUGUUGAACAACUAGUUGGUUUAUUAUUUAAAUCUUUUUCCAACCUGCUUCAAAAUUUGUAUUUGGUCCUAGCCCUAAAGAUUUAUUACUAUUUUCUUUGUCAACGGCACAUUGUAUUCCGAAAUAGCCGGGCAACUUUUUCCGUCAAUGUGUCGGGUGGCAAUAAACAUUGGAUGUCUCUGAGACGUGAGGUCAGUAUUUGCGCAUAUGAAUUAUUAGACGUCACAUCAGUAUUAGAGUUUAUUUUUCUGUCUCUUAUUCGUCACCUCAUUAUGUACGCUACUAUUUUAGAUGGAUCAAUCAUGACCUUCGGGAAAUAGCCGAAAGCGAAAGCGAGUAGCACUAAAUGUCUUGACAAAUCAAAAUACCCUAAGUCAAUGGAGAGAAGCUGAGAUGGAGCGAGACUUCAGUAAUGUAAAGGGUGAAGAUGUGGAUCCAGACUUGGGUUUGCAAAGCGAACAUGACUCUGCUUCAGAACAAUCAGCGGAAGAAGAAUCUCAGGUAUUCCAACCACAAAUAUCACCACUCAAUUCAGUUG
rnacentral:misc_RNA from 1 species